rnacentral:rRNA from 1 species
AUUGAACGCUGGCGGCAGGCCUAACACAUGCAAGUCGAACGAGUGGCGGACGGGAGAGUAAUGUAUGGGAAUCUGCCUGGGGGAGGGGGAUAACUAAUGGAAACGGUAGCCACUACCGCAUAACAUCAGAUGUGCCAGGAUGGGUUGAGCUUGUUGGUGGGGUAAAGGCUCACAAAGGCGCCGCUCCCGAGCCGGUCUGAGAGGAUGACCAGCCACACUGGAACUGAGACACGGUCCAGACUCCUACGGGAGGCAGCAGUGGGGAAUAUUGCACAAUGGGCGCAAGCCUGAUGCAGCCAUGCCGCGUGUAUGAAGAAGGCCUUCGGGUUGUAAAGUACUUUCAGCGGGGAGGCGUUACCCGCAGAAGAAGCACCGGCUAACUCCGUGCCAGCAGCCACGGUAAUAC